UGAGGUGAAUCUGACAUUUCUCUACUGCUGAAUCGAGGACUUGAGCAAUUCUUCAGCUCUUCACAAAGAUGUCAUAAUUAAUUCAGUAAUAUCCCUUCUAUAAGCAGAGAUAGAAAAGGAAGACACAGAAGCACCUACUCCAUGCCUAAAAGCUGAAUGAAUGACAGCAUCACUCACGCCAGUCUCUGUGAAAUUUACUCUAUUUUUUCCUAACAAUCAAGACAAUUUCUGCUGCAAAGACACAUCUUCCCCUCUCCUGUCAGCACAAAAGCAGGACUUAGUAGCAGGCAAUUAUAUAUACAGCCAAAAGAUCAGCUGUGUUUCCUCAGCUGGAUCCAAGAAGUGUUUCCAUCCCCUAAUCAGCUCUGAGGAAAUUCUUCCACAAUCCAAGUGUAGCUGCUUUUCUUUGCCCACCUUCCAAGGGGGCAGAAGUGCAGGGAAGCAGAUUCCCCUGCCAGUGUAACCAGCACUGCUCUGCUGGCUCAAAGGGACCUCCAUCAGGAAGGAGAGAAGAUGUUCCAUCUCACCCCAUCCCAUCUCCUUCCUCCUGCCAUGGAAGCAGGAGAAAUCACCUCCCCUCCUUGUCUGGAGAGGAGUUUUCCCCUCUGCCAGGGAUGCCUGGUCAGGAAUCACUGCCCAGCUGACUCACACAGUGUUUCAGUGCAGCAGAAAUUAAACAGACCAAAGUCUCUAUUGACAGGGAUAUUAUUUGAGAAGAUAAGAUUUUAAAUGUGUUCUGCAAAAGAUAAAGCCUGGACAGGCAGACAAUAGAAGAGCAGCUUUUCCCUUUUAUUUUAGUUUUUUGAAAGCAGGAUUGCCUGACAUAUUCAGUGCUGUAACAAAUAUGUGGUUUUGAACGGUUUAGAGCAAUUGGAAAUAUAAAACCCCAGAAUAUUAGCAUUUACUUUAACUAUCUCACAGAAUUAGAAAAAAAAAAAAUCAGUUCCUUCAUUCCAAAGCUGUUAUGUCUCCUCAAAUCAAGUGUUAAAGAAAAAUGAAUUAAAUUAUUGUGCCCUUUUGAAUUCAAGCACAUUCAAAAGAUGUGUGUAGAAAAGCACCAGCCCUCCCAGGCUGCAUAUACCUCCACAGGUGCUGCAUUUCUAAACACAGCAUGCAGCAGGUAUUUUCAAAAAAUAAAAUGAACCCAAAAUGUUCUGCAUUUGUACCUGAGAAGUUUCAGAUGUGAGGAGCUGCAUCCUGGGCUAGGUUUUAUCCUCAGCCUGGCCCACUCAGCUGCCUCCAGCAGAUACAGACUGUCAAAAGCUCUCCCAGCCAUUGGCUUGUCACAGCAAAUGAAGAUGAGUAGCUCCAGUUUCUGGACCCUGUUCAAGCCUCCCAGUGGUUGGCCAGCCUCAGAGGGACCAGAUGCCUUCAGAGGCUAAUCCUACCUCCAUCUAAAAUGCAGACAGAUCUUUCUCUUUCUGUACUAGAAUACUAUUUUUCACCUCUAUCUUCCAAUUCAUUAUACAAGAAAAUUUGUUGUUAUUUUAAUUUAUUUUUUUUUUUACAUUUGAGAAAAACUCUUUAAAACCUUCUGAAACAAGCUGGGGAAGAGAAGAAAAAAUGAAGUUCAUUUUCUUACAUAUCUGUGCUCUUUACUCCCUACGCUCUCCCCACAUCCCCAGCCAAAUUCCACCAUGUCCCCUUGGACACCCCCAGCUUGACCAGAGGCAGCACAUGCUGGAGCUGUCACAAUGGACCAGCUCACCAACCCUUGGCCAUCAAACCCACUCCUUUCUGCUUCUCUGGAAAUGAUCCUCUGCCAGCUGACAAAAUCUGUAGAAGCAUAACUGUCUUUGAGACAGCUACCCUGCUCUCAAAUGUGAUUGAAAUUGGCCAACCUGUUAAAAAGUGAUGGUGGUGGAAGAGAGACUGGCGAGGAGACAGAUGGCAGACAGCUCAGCUUUAGCCUCCACUGAGCUGAUUGAGAAGUGGGAAUGCUUUCACCCUCUCGUGAAAAAUGAUAUCACUCUUUCACUGAAAUUCAAAACUUAGUUUCCUGACAUUAAAAAUGUGACUUUUCCAAGUGGUCAAAAUUAGGAUGAAAAAAAAAAAAAAGAUGCCUUGACAAAGCAGCACUUGGUGCUUUGCCAAGGGAUGAAGUCAUUCUAAAGAAUUAAAAUGCAGCUGGAGGAAGGACAGGAUAAUCAGAACGAUAAAACAUAACCCAGCCAGGAGCCCGGCGGGGCCCACACGUGCUCGUGCUGAGCAGUGGUGUCCCAGCAGGAGCAGCAAGUGGAGUGCUAAACCCUUGCAUUUGCAUGAGCACAAACCUGAGUUUUUACUACCAAAUCCAUGGGCAGACUCAUCUGGGCCAAGCUGACCAAGUGCUGGCACCAAGACCGAUGGCCCCGUGGCCUCUGCCCGAGUUCAGGGCAGCAGCUCCAUGGUGGAGUGUGCUGAGCUCACACGGGGUCACAGGCAAGCCUGCCUGCAGGAAUGGAACAAACCUUGGGCUGGUUAGCCCUGAAUCAACCUGGGAAAACCCACCUGAGGCUGAGGACACUCCCACAAGAGCAAGUGUGAUGCUCCCAGCAGUGCCCAAGUCCCCCAGAGCCAUCACCGGCAUCCCUCGGCACCGGGGGCUGGGGAGGAGAAGGGUGACUUGGUGGGGGAGCUGAGGCUGCUUGGUUGGGCAAGGAGAAUUUGAACUGGUUUUCAGAAAUUGCACGGGGUGAAACAGUGUUAGGGUAACCGAGCCAGGAAAAUGCUGCCCUGGCACCCACCUGAGCUCCCAAAUCCCUGAGCAGGCAGUGCCUGGCUCUGCAGACCCCCUUCUGUGCCUGGAGGAGCUGCUGGGGGACUGCUGCCACCCAGAGCAAACCCCAGCCCACCCUGCAGCCCUGCCAGCUGAGGCAGGUCACCCACAAACAUCAGCCCUUAGCAAAACAUGUAUUUCACCCCUAGUUUACACCAAGGUGGGGGAGUUUUUCCAAACUCCCUCGUUUUUCUCUGAACCUCCCAGCAUAUCCCAUUUCUCCACUGUCUUUAAGAUGGCCCCCUGGGCUGGGUUUGCUGUGUCCUCAGACAUGUCUUGUAUCAACUGCCUUUUCUGAGGUUUCCAAGCACUGAAGCCACCACUGCCAGAAAAAGAAACUCUAUUUCAGGGCUGGUCCUGGAAAGCCAACCCUGUGGGUGCCAGCAGGGCUGCAGAAAUUGUGGUUUCUCAUGUCUCCCUCAAAUCUGGCACUGCUAUUCUGAGAGGAGCAAACUAACCCCAGUUCAAAGUCAAAAUUCCAAUCUGGGAAUUUUUUUAGCUUCUAUCGUUCUCCAUCUUAAUGUGGGCAGCAAUUACAACUGCAACCUGCCAGAAGUAAACCACUCACAAAUACGUCAUGACCAAAGGUGGAUGCAAACAAAAGCAGCCACCAGACACAGACACACCCUUUGUUGGCCUAAUUUCACCUCUCCACCUCAUCAUUAGAGCUCUUACCUUUGUUUCCACCAAGUGGCCACCCCAACUUUGAUGGGGGCAUCCCAGGCUGGUGUCUGCAGACAGCAGGGACACUGGUGGCACUGGCUCCGUGUGCCACCACAUCACUGGUGUGCAGGAGAACUGCUGAAGCCAGGGUCCCACCACAGAGGGGGCUGGGGGGCUUCUCUCCCACCUCCUGCCAGGGCUGGAUGAGACAGCAGGGAAGGACAGAUGUCAAAGGCACAGCCAGCACUUUUCCUUCCCCACACAGAGUUGGCUGGAUGGCUCUGUGCAGAGGGAAGCAGAGACAUGAGGGUGAUGCUUUAGGAUUUAGCUUUUCUAUUUUUCAGGUCCUGUACUGCUUUAGUGUGUAACUCUAAAACUCCAUAGCCUGUCAGCUGCUGUUCUCCCCUUUUGUUCAGACAAACAAUUCCUCUCUAGGCCUGAAACUCAAGGACACCUCAUUGUCUCAGACCUGAGAGAUGCAAAUAACAGUGAAUUGGGGGGCAAACUUGGAGUAAAUCACUUCAUUACCUGAAACUGUAAAUGGAGAAUUAACCCCUGAUAUGUAAAUAGACCGAACUUGUAACUGUAUGAAAAUCUUGUGACUUAUUUCCAUCUUGGGUGUAGCCCCUCAGAGGCUUUGACUGCCCAAGGUGUCCCUAGUGAAGGCCUUCAAUAAAUACCCAAUUUUAUUCUCUUAAUUUUGUCUAGCCUCUGUUUCAGAUAGCCACUCCAAGGCAUCAGUGGGACAUGGGAAUCUCUUCAGCCCCUGAAACGCCCCAGCCUGCUGCCAGAGGGUCCCUGUGUCCAUGUGGCUGGACAGGGGACCAAGGGCAGGGCAGACACUUCCCAUUCCUCCCAGUCCUGCAUUAUGCACCAGGCACCUGCAGCCCUGCUCUGAACAAAGAACAUCUCUCCUGGAUGAAUAUUCACUCCGUUCUGCCACAGCCAGAACAAAAAGGAAGAUAGGCUGGGUUUGCAUGUCUACAUGAGCCAUCUGCUUCUAUUUUAUUGAUAAACCUGUAACAGCAGCAUUCUCCAUAACAAAAUAAGACUGUUUCUAAGGUGUGGACAGCUGUGUGUGUGCAGGGGUAGUUUCAGCCCAGAAUUCUGCAGAAGCUGGGUUUAAUGCUGAUUUUUUUUUCCAGUCAGAUAUCAUCUAGACAUUAGUAUUCCUAACGCAGCAUAUAAUUAGCAAGAGGCAAUAUAUUGUAUGAUCAUGCACGUUAGCACUUAAGUAAAAUAAAAAAUGUUUCAUUGUCAAAUACAUGAAAAGCUAAGAAUAAACCCAUACCAGAUUUCCAGUUGAAUAUCUAAACAUCUUUUCCUUGUACUUUUCAUUUUUUAUCACAGUUUUGCACUGCAGAUAUCUCUUUCAAUCACAUACCCAGCAAGUGAAACAAUGCUCACAGUGGCCCCUCACUAGUCAAUACCAACCAUUCAGUAACUAGAUUCAAGGUACAAUUUUCAGUGCAAAUCUUUGAACUUUACAAAAGUGAAAAGGACAUAUAAAUUUGUUUUUUAUAAUUUUCACAGUAGGAAAAGUUCUCCCUUUAUAGAUUUAUUUACCAUAAAAAUAAUUCAUCAAUAAAUGCAAGCUCUAGAAGACUUGCCUUUGCAACAACAGAAGUUAAGGAUGUGGCAUUUUUAUUAAUUUGCUUGUAUUGUUAUUUCUUAAAGUAAACAAUUCAUAGA
rnacentral:lncRNA from 1 species